rnacentral:lncRNA from 1 species
CUCUAGUGCUUCAGUCACCAUUGUCCUUUCCAUAGGCACUUCACCUUUCAGCUUGCAAGCAACAGCUCCGUUGAGUUACCUCCUUCAGCAUGUAUAACCUGAGAAAAGAACACAGAGUAGAGUGUGUGCUACUUGCCUUAUAAAAUAGUAGCAGCUUGGUCCUGUUCAACACCCUCCAGGAGCAGUCUUCCAUUACCAGUUCUGAGGGGACACAGUGACCACAGAGGCAGCUUAACUGGCUGCCCUCAGUUAAUUCACUCCACACAGUCCACACAAUCAAGGUCUGACAUAGCUCCUUCUGUCCUGAGAGUGAAGCCCAGACUCCCAUCUCAUCUCUUCUCAUAUCACACCUUGCCUGGCAGUCACGGGAAGGGGGCUGAAUAAGACCUCUUGGCACAAGAAAUGCCAUGUCCUCAGUAAAGCACUUUAACAUGCUCCUGAGUUGCACUGAGGGACCAGUCACUGUGAGUUUUUGCUGUUGUCAGCAGAGAACCAGGAAGAUGAUGUUCAGCAACUUCUACUCCACAUCUCUAGCUUCACUUUGAAGAAGUCUAGACACCUGAAUCUUGAUCAGAGAGCAAAUUUGAAAGACUGACUGGGACAAAAGCAGUAUAAGAAGUCCCUGGAGCUCAGUCAGGGCAGAGCUGACCCAUCACAGGAAGUGCAGAACUCUGAAUAAAGGUACAUGACAUAUGACUGCAGCUGGUAUUAGUUUUCUGAGACCAGUACUCAUAUAUUGACAGCUGACUUUUAUCUAGUCUUUCCUUGGGAACAGAGAAUGUUGACUUAAAAUUACUACUGGUCCUAAUCAGUGUGGCUGUUUCUAUGAUGUCAAGAGAACACAGAGAGUGAUCAUCCUGUCAUGACUGGAGCUAUGAAAGGAGGAACUGAACACAACAGAAAGGUUGAGAGGAUCAGGUUAGAUCUCAGAGAUCACAGGUUCAGUUCCCUCCCGUGUGGGCUGUGCGAGGUGAUGGUGCCAUCUCCCUGCAGGAGAAGUUGGGGUUGCCAGGCAGCACAACUUUUCUGUCUUCUAAAGUUGUAGUCACAACUGAUUUGUGAAUGGAUACACAGAAUAGCAAAUUACUUUUCUGAGCACAGUCUGUUCCGAAGGUAUGGUGGCUUGCCAUGUCCCAAUACUAUAUAAAUAUUGUAAAAUUCAAUAAUUACCAAUAAAAAUAUUCAAUAUGAAUCUACUUCUGAUGUU